AAUCCCAUGCUCAGCCAGGGGAAGUCCCAUAAUAGACUUGCGUAGAGCUGCCGCGAACAGUCAACUAGCUAGCCUAGGCUAACCUGAACACUCCUUUGGCAGUUGAUACAUCAAAACAACAGGUACAAUCAUUGAAUCAAAUUACAAUAGCUACAAAAACUGAUAAAUAGCUAGCUGGUGUCAUUAAGCCUUUUAAAGUUAACUUCAAAAAGGGGGGGGUCAAGGGACCCCAUGGACCCCCCUCUGGAUCCGCCACUGUAUCUUCUUCCGUGUGGCAUUCCUAUUAAAAGCGUAUUUUUGUACCUGGUGAUUGUGAUAGGGCUGACCCCUCCCUACUCCAGUCUGGACCUCCCGUACAUCCGCACACAGCUGCACAAGAAGCUGACAUUCUACGCCAGCAAGAGUCAGUCUGGUUUGGCUCCCGAGUCAGAGGCUGGUGACUCUGGAGUGGGCAGUAUAUUGCAUGGCCUGAUGAUACUGACCUGCACACUCCCCUCACAAUCAGUCAGGAGGAUAUACCCAGCGAGACACUCUCACCAAGACGCUCCCUCACAGAGUCUACUAAUGGCUUUUCCCACAAGUCCCUCUCUCCGGAACGAUUGUUGACUGACAGUCUGGUAGGCCAAGCUGCUUUGAUUGCUAGUGGUCUGGUGUCCGCGUCAUCGGUCAGUAGUAGUCUCACCACCCAAUCUUGUACAUCAAGCACUGUUGCCAUGGUGGCAGCCAAUGGAGUCGAAGAGUGAGGUCAUGUGAUGGACAAUUGUCGUGAAUUGAACUCAUGCCUGAUUUUAACAGGUCUUUUAGCUUAGGUGUUAUUUGUGUAUAACGGAGUAAUUGGCUGUUUAUUUUUAUUCCCGACCAGUCAAGUAUAUAAACAAACCCUUAUAUUUGUGCAAUUUCACAAUAUAGCCAAGUCAUUAAUUAUCUCAUCACCAAAACUUAUUUAUAGGAGUCAUUUAAUUACUGCCAUGCAGCUUUCCACUAAUUAUUAUGUGUACAUUUGUGACAAAGUUUCACAUUUGUUUCGAUUUGAUCUUGAUAAUUUAUUAAUAUCCAACCAUCGAUUUUUGGGUCAACUUAUACUGCACAAAAUUUUAUG